UACGGGAGGCAGCAGUGAGGAAUAUUGGCCAAUGGAGGCAACUCUGAACCAGCCAAGUCGCGUGAAGGAAGACGGCCCUACGGGUUGUAAACUUCUUUUUUACAGGAAUAAAAUGCCUUACGUGUAAGGUUUUGCAUGUACUGUACGAAUAAGGAUCGGCUAACUCCGUGCCAGCAGCCGCGGUAAUACGGAGGAUCCGAGCGUUAUCCGGAUUUAUUGGGUUUAAAGGGUGCGCAGGCGGUAUGGUAAGUCGGCGGUGAAAUUUUGCAGCUCAACUGUAAAAGUGCCUUCGAAACUGUCAUACUUGAGUGUAGAUGAAGUAGGCGGAAUUUGUGGUGUAGCGGUGAAAUGCAUAGAUAUCACAAAGAACACCGAUUGCGCAGGCAGCUUACUAAACUAUAACUGACGCUCAUGCACGAAGGCGUGGGGAUCAAACAGGAUUAGAUACCCUGGUAGUCCACGCAGUAAACGAUGAUUACUAGCUGUUUGCGAUACACAGUAAGCGGCUGAGCGAAAGCGUUAAGUAAUCCACCUGGGGAGUACGUUCGCAAGAAUGAAACUCAAAGGAAUUGACGG
rnacentral:rRNA from 1 species